rnacentral:rRNA from 1 species
UACAGAGGUCUCAAGCGUUGUUCGGAUUCAUUGGGCGUAAAGGGUGCGUAGGCGGCGCGGUAAGUCGGGUGUGAAAUCUUGGAGCUUAACUCCGAAACUGCAUUCGAUACUGCCGUGCUUGAGGACUGGAGAGGAGACUGGAAUUUACGGUGUAGCGGUGAAAUGCGUAGAUAUCGUAAGGAAGACCAGUGGCGAAGGCGGGGCUCUGGACAGUUCCUGACGCUGAGGCACGAAGGUCAGGGGAGCAAACGGG